rnacentral:snRNA from 1 species
AUGCUCACUUCAGCAGCACAUAUACUAAAAUUGGAAUAGUACAGAGAAGAUUAGCAUGGCCCCUGCACAAGAAUUGCAUGCAAAUUCACAAAAUGUUCCAUGUUUUU